GGUCGAGCUAAGGUCACAGGAGGAGGAGGAGAGAGGGCACUCAAGGUGUUCGUGCAAUUGCGUCGCCGGCGUGGCUCGGGUGCUUCUUUCCUGCCGCUACGUGCUUGGUGUACGGGCGUGGCAGCGCGACCAGCUACACGCAGACGGAAGAGAAGUGAGUCCUUGGCUCGCAGACCAUGUCGUCCCUGGUGAGCCAGCAGCUGCUGCUCCCCGCGCUGCAUUCCAGUGUUUCACCAGCAGCAUCGCCGUUAGUGGUGGCAUUCGGCACCACAAGGCUCCGCAGCAGCAGCAGCAGCUAUGGUCUUCCUGCUCGGUCUACAGCUCUGGUCUCUUGCACGGGGUCGUCCAGCGGAGGUCUUGCCAAGGAUAAGCUGCAGCAGGCAUGCCAAGAGAACGCUGCCGCCGCUAAGAAUGAAGACGGGGGUCUGGGUUGGAGCAAGGACGAGAUCGAGGCCAUCUCGGCGCUGUUCGCCCGGCCGAUGCACCAAAAGCCGCCGAAGCCCCUGAGCCCGGCGACGCGGCGGCCGCUCCCGCUGCCGCAGCCCCACAAGACGAGGCUGCCGCCCGCUCCGACGCCGAAGCAGCACGUCCGGCUCCCCUCGCGCUCCUCGUUCAGCGACCGGGUGCGCAAGGACCCGGAGGUCCUUGUUGGUAUCGCCCGGGAGAUCGCCGCGCUCGCGCCGGACUCCGAGGUGUCCACGGUGCUGGACCGCUGGGCGCCGUUCCUCCGGAAGGGGUCGCUCUCCAUGACCAUCCGGGAGCUCGGCCACAUGGGGCUCCCCGAGAGGGCGCUCCAGACGCUGUGCUGGGCGCAGGCGCAGAAGGCCGUGCCGCUGUUCCCCGACGACCGCAUCCUCGCCUCGGCCGUCGAGGUCCUGGCGCGCUUCGACGAGCUGAGGAUGGAGUCCGCGCUCGAGGAGUGCGUGCCGUCGGCGAGCCGCGCCGUCCUCGAGGCCAUGGCGAGCGGGUUCAUCGGGGCGGGCAAAGCAGGCCUCGCGCGCAAGGUGCUCGAGCUUGCCAGGGUAAACAAGAGGACGCUGCACCCGGGCAUCUACGCGAAGCUGAUCCUGGAAGUUGCCCAGACACCUGAAGGCUACGGGCUCGCUGCUGCGCUGCUCGAUGAGCUUGGUGAGAGGCCGGACUUUGACCUGCGGCCGCAGGACUGCACGGCUGUCAUGAAGGUCUGCGUAAAGCUCAGGCGGUUCGCGGCCGUGGAGAGCUUGUUCAGCUGGUUCAGGGCGUCCGGCAGGAACCCAACCGUGGUGAUGUACACGACUGUGAUCCACUGCCGCUCCCGAGACGGGAGGCACCGGGAGGCGCUGGCCCUGGUGUGGGAAAUGGAGCAGGCAAACUGCCUUCUUGACCUGCCGGCAUACCGGGUCAUCGUCAAGCUGUGCGUGGCAUUGCGUGAUCCAGAAAGGGCUUUUCGGUACCUGUCUAGGUUGAAGGAGGCUGGGUUCCUUCCGACCAGUGACAUAUACUGUAAUUUGAUUGAAGGCUAUGCCGUAGCGGGGAGGACGGCUAAGUGCCGGCACCUGAUCAGGGAGGCUGAGUCCACCGGCGUGAUGCUUGACAGGAGGCUGGUUUCUAGCUUGUCUGAGAUGCGAACUGGACAUCCUUGAUCCACUGGAAAAGGGAAAGUCUGUGCUCGUGUAAUUAUCUGUAGGUGAUUGGAGACAGAGUAUUGGGAUCAGUUACUGGGAAUUGUAAAUCAUUUAAGAGUUAACAACACUCCAAUUCUGUGAGAGGCUAUCUGAUAACAGGGCUGGCUAGAAUUUGCUGAAGGUUGCUCUCUUCAGAAGUAAAACUUGUACGGGUACCAAUUAAUCACUGAUAUUGGACUAACUGCCAUUGCAAGAGGGUAGACUGAUCUUGUCUUUCUGGAUAUAAGUGUUCUCCCGGUAAAUACUUAUGAGACUGAAUUUACUGCACUACGAGUCGUCCAAAAAUUGAGAAUGAAAGUGGCAUCUACUUCAGUUUUUGUUGUUCAGACUAGG